rnacentral:pre_miRNA from 1 species
AGGCAGUGUAAUGUUAGCUGGCUGCAACUCAAGAAUCAGCAGCUGCAUGCACCACCACA